CGAGCAGGUGGAGUUGGGAGAAAAGGGAGUAGAAGAGUCUAGGCCUUAGCUAAAGAGGUCGGGAACACUGAAAAUGUGCCUGAGAUAGGCUUGAACAAGGUUGUAGGAUGCGAAGAGGUCGAAAUAUCAUUCUGCUUGAACUUUGUGGAUAAUUAUGCCGUAUGAGCUCCCUAAAUCAUCAAGUCCCCGAUGACUAAUAAUGACCCCAAAGAUAUAACUGGAAGCAGAGAGUAACCUAGUACCUAAUUCACCGACCCUCCGAUCAGUUUGGGGCCUCAAUAAUAAUGAUGAGUCAUCGGAUAUGCCUAUUGCAUGGAUAGGCCGGAUAGACCAAUACGCUGACCAGACGGAUUACCUAGACACCAUCGACCAAGUCUGCCAAGGUUGUUAGUAUUACGGAGACACCUGAUUUGAUGUUGAAGCGAAUAUCAAUGAUUUAGACGGCCCACUUAGGGGAACCUAACACGUGUCGGGUGAGCAUUGGUUCCCUUGUUCUAUUAAUAGAGAUUGACUUUUCACUGGGAGAUCAUCCCUUUUUGAGACCAGGCUAUGCUUCAAUAGAAUCAUCCCCAAAACCCACCACAUGUCAUGUGACGGAUGAGUAGCCAAGUUAAGUCCAACUUAAUUGGUCGUCUUCAUUGACCCAAACACGUGUCAACAUAUUAUAAGCCCACCUAAACGUGAGUUAUUAGUUAGCAUGGCAUAUCCGGCAUUUGAUAUUUUUAAGCUCAUGCAAAAGAAAAUUUUCUUAUUUUGACAUUGAAUUUUAUUAAUUGAAUGGUUUAUGGAGGGAAUCAGAGCAUGUCAUUUAUUUUUUCCCCAGUUAUCUUUUUGCACCUGGACUUGAAGCAAAAGACAAUAGAACCAAUUGUUUCAUGUUUUUUUUGGGACUUAUGAUCUGAUUCAUAUGGCUGCAACUUGUGGCUUUCAUUGGUG
rnacentral:misc_RNA from 1 species